GCUUAACACAUGCAAGUCGAGCGAGAAUCGUUUAUUGAAGGCUUCGGCUGGAAAUAGAUGAGGAAAGCGGCGAACGGGUGAGUAACGCGUGGGCAACCUGGCCUUAAGAAAAGGAUAGCCCCCGGAAACGGGGAGUAAUACUUUAUGAGAAUGAGAGAGGGCAUCCUACUUUCAUUCAAAGCGCAAGCGCUUAAGGAUGGGCCCGCGUAUCAUUAGCUAGUUGGUGAGAUAACAGCCCACCAAGGCAACGAUGAUUAGCCGGUCUGAGAGGGCGAACGGCCACAUUGGAACUGAGAGACGGUCCAAACUCCUACGGGAGGCAGCAGUGGGGAAUAUUGCGCAAUGGAGAAGAACUCUGACGCAGCAAUACCGCGUGAGCGAAGAAGGUCUUCGGAUCGUAAAGCUCUGUUAUCAGGGAAGAAGAAAAUGACGGUACCUGAUGAGCAAGUCCCGGCUAACUACGUGCCAGCCGCCGCCGUAA
rnacentral:rRNA from 1 species